GAGAAGUCGUAACAAGGUUUCCGUAGGUGAACCUGCGGAAGGAUCAUUCACAUUUGAACUGUUCCAGACUAGGCGUAGUCCUAGUCUAGGGUAACCACCAUCCUAACAACACACUAGUUGUGCCAGGUUUGGAUGGCGUUUUACCCACUGCAACGUGCAUGGUUCCAUUGGAACCUUGCUUGCCUGGGAUUCCAUUCCAGGACGUUGCUCUCCUACCCCUCCGUAGAGUCAAUGCGACUUUUCGGGUUAUGCUUUUGGUCUUGGACCAAGAGAUACGAGUGUCUCACGUCGUUGCCGUGGUCACCCGAUUAGAACCGGCUUAAUUGGAGAUUCCAUUAAACUGGUCUUAUGUCCCUAGUGGAAUUUGCGACUCCGUGCUUCGGCACCAUGUAUAAAUUCAACUUUCAGCGAUGGAUGUCUUGGCUCACACGACGAUGAAGGACGCAGCGAAUUGCGAUAAGCAGUAUGACUUGCAGACUUCUGCGAUUUACCAGACCUCUGAACGUAACCAACACACCACCUCUGCUCGCACGUGGUACUCCCAUCUCAGUGAGUUUUUUUCCUAGUCCACGGACCCUUUUUGGUACACAUGUUGUUUACCACAGUGUGUGUACCAACAGGGUCUAGGUGUACUGAGAUUGCGCCUCGAUUUGUGGCGUUAAUUUUCGUUUCCCAAAUGUUCAUCACAAGGCCUAAGUGCCAAGUGGAGCUUCCUUGUUGUAGUUGCUGCUCUCUUGUGGUUUCCACUGUGUAGUAUUUGGGAGGCCCACCAACCACAACAUACGUGUUGGUGGUCAUAUCUUCUCCUGAGAUUGGGUGAGGCUAUCCGCUGAAUUUAAGCAUAUAAUUAAGCGGCAGAAGAGAAAAUAACCAUGAUUCCCCUAGUAACGGCGAGUGAAGC
rnacentral:rRNA from 1 species